UUUGAUUGUUGCCUAUGAACAUUUUGUGUGCUUCCAGUUAAUUGAUCUUUAGGAGAGUCAUUCUAGAUUUAUUGUCCCAUAACAAUCUUUAGCUAAUAUAUUACUGGUUUUCUUUUGGGUUGGCAGACCACACUUUUGGAUUACAUCAGGAAAAGCAAGGUGGCAGCAUCUGAAGCAGGUGCAAUUACUCAAGGCAUGGGGGCAUACAAGGUACAAGUACCUUUUGAUGGCAAGCCACAGACUUGUGUUUUCCUUGACACCCCUGGACAUGAGACAUAUCUUAAAAGGCCUUUGUCAAGAUGAAUUAUCUAACAUAACUG